AGGUCAAGUAGAAAAGGGCGCACGGUGAAUGCCUAGGCACUAACAGCCGAAGAAGGACGUGACGAACUACGAAAAGCUUCGGGGAGCGGUAAGUACGCAGUGAUCCGGAGAUAUCCGAAUGGGGGAACCCAAUGCAGAGAUGCAUUAUUGAUUAGUGAAUAGAUAGCUAAUCAAAGGAAGACGCAGUGAACUGAAACAUCUAAGUAGCUGCAGGAAGAGAAAGAAAGAUCGAUUUCCUUAGUAGCGGCGAGCGAAGAGGAAAGAGCCCAAACCAAGUGAUUUAUCAUUUGGGGUUGUAGGACUGCGACGUGGCAGUGUAAGAGAUAGUUGAAUUAUCUGGGAAGGUAAGCCAGAGAGGGUGAGAGCCCCGUAAGCGAAAUCUCAAGCACGCCUAGCAGAAUCCUGAGUAGGCCGGGACACGAGGAAUCCCGGUUGAAACCGCGAGGACCAUCUCGCAAGGCUAAAUACUAGUUAGUGACCGAUAGUGAACCAGUACCGUGAGGGAAAGGUGAAAAGAACCCCGGAAGGGGAGUGAAAAAGAACCUGAAACCGUGUGUCUACAAGUAGUCAAAGCACAUUAAAGUGCAAUGGCGUGCCUUUUGUAGAAUGAACCGGCGAGUUACGUUAUCUAGCGAGGUUAAGUCAGAAAAGACGGAGCCGGAGCGAAAGCGAGUCUUAAUAGGGCGAAAAGUUAGGUGACGUAGACCCGAAACCAAGUGACCUACCCAUGACCAGGCUGAAGGUGUGGUAAAACGCACUGGAGGGCCGAACCCACGUAAGUUAAAAAUUGCGGGGA
rnacentral:rRNA from 1 species